CUACUCGGGUAUCUAAUCCCGUUUGCUCCCCUGGCUUUCGCGCCUCAGCGUCAGAAGGGAUCCAGCGCGCCGCUUUCGCCACCGGUGUUCCUCAGGAUAUCUACGCAUUUCACCGCUCCACCCUGAGUUCCGCACGCCCCUAUCCCCCUCGAGGUCUCCAGUAUCCAAGGCACUUCCACGGUUGGGCCGUGGGAUUUCACCCCGGACUUGGGGACCCGCCUACGCGCCCUUUAAGCCCAGUGAUUCCGAAUAACGUUCGCACGGUUCGUCUUACCGCGGCUGCUGGCAC
rnacentral:rRNA from 1 species